CGUUUGGCACCUCGAUGUCGGCUCAUCACAUCCGGGGCUGGAGCAGGUCCCAAGGGUUCGGCUGUUCGCCGAUUAAAGUGGUACGUGAGCUGGGUUUAGAACGUCGUGAGACAGUUCGGUCCCUAUCUGCCGUGGGUGUCGGAGUUUUGCGAGGAUCUGUCCCUAGUACGAGAGGACCGGGAUGGACAUACCUCUGGUGCACCGGUUGUCACGCCAGUGGCAUGGCCGGGUAGCUAAGUAUGGACGGGAUAACCGCUGAAAGCAUCUAAGCGGGAAACCCACCUCUAAACCAGAGCUCCCUUGAGAGCCGUGACAGACCAUCACGUCGAUAGGAGGCAUGUGGACGGGCAGCAAUGUCUGAAGCUAAGCCUUACUAAUCGCUCGAUCGGCUUGAUCUC
rnacentral:rRNA from 1 species